ensembl:lncRNA
UCUUUGUUGAAGAAUCUUCAUGCAACUCUUUCCAUACAGCAACAGUUUAAAGUUUGUAAAAGGACAGAAAUAAAAGCACCAGAGACUGCUACAUUUCAAGUCUUCUGAUGCUACAAGACGUUAUUUACUGACCAUUUUUUCCUCCAGUGAGUUGUUAGCUGUAGAGCCCUUGCAUAAGUUCAUUGAUUUAGUCAGCUGAACUCAAGAACCGGAUCAUUGAAUGAAUUGGUGUUUUGAGGUGGUUCUUUUCUCGUUGAUCUUCUACAUGAUGUGUUUACAGUCAGACUGAUUUGUUUAACUUGCAGACUUGAUGAUCCAGUUACAGCAGAUCUCAGGUUAACAUCUUACUGACGAGAAAGUUUAUCAGUGAAAAAGGACUCACAUUUUGGUCUAUUCCUCACAUCGGAAGACAUGAAAUAUAGCAAACAAGUCCUACACUCUUAAAAAUAAAGGUCCUCCAUGAUGCCAUAGAAGAACCUUUUUGUCUAAAUGGUUCCAUAAAGAACCUUCAACAUCUGAAGAACCUUUCUGUUUCACAAAAGUUUCAUUGUGGCAAAAGAAGGUUCUUCAGAUUAUAAAAAGGUUGGAAACAGAUGGUUCUUUAAAGAACCAUUGACUGAAUGGUUCUCUGUGGAACCAAAAAUGGUUCUUCUAUGGCAUCGCGGUUAAGAACCUUUUAAGCACCUUUAUUUUUAAGAGUCUAUGUAUGUUUUAGACAUUUCAAGGACGAUAGAAAGUCAUUUAAGUUUAGAACAACACAAGGUGAGUAAAAAAUGAAUUUUAAUUUAGUGGUGAACUAUUCCUUGUAAAUGCCUUUCGUUUCAGGUCUUCAUUGUUAUUGAAUGAAGAGAGGUGAUUUUUCUUCUGUGUAUGUAAUGUUAUAGAAACAUAUUGUGUAAAAAAAUAUAUUGUGCUGUUGGGUGAUAGUCGGUGUAAACAGUUUCUGUCCUGCGCAGGUCCGGUGUUGAAUGGUGCCAAGCUUUAAACCUGUUAUUUGUUUCAUGUAUGUGCUGGCCCUGGGCUUUAAUAAUGAUUUGUUUAAUGCAGUGUAAGUGGAAUUGAUGUUUUUAUGUUGAGUGCUCUGAUGAGGUUUCUGCAGUGGUAGGCUGUAAUGGAUUUUACAUAAAAAAUGGUACAGUGUUAUAAAUCACACUGCAUGAUAACGGUUUUGCAGAGAUGCCCAAAACGGAGUAUUAAGUGACUCUUGGCAGCUUCAUCAUAGGUACAGAAGUGUGGAAACCCUCAUCAUAAGCAUGACCUACUUUUCUGAAGAAAAAAUAAAUAAAUUGUCUACUGUAUGUCGUGAGUAGCA